AUUGAACGCUGGCGGAAUGCUUUACACAUGCAAGUCGAACGGCAGCACGGGGCAACCUGGUGGCGAGUGGCGAACGGGUGAGUAAUACAUCGGAACGUGCCCAAUCGUGGGGGAUAACGUAGCGAAAGUUACGCUAAUACCGCAUACGAUCUACGGAUGAAAGCGGGGGAUCGCAAGACCUCGCGCGAAUGGAGCGGCCGAUGUCAGAUUAGGUAGUUGGUGGGGUAAAGGCUCACCAAGCCAACGAUCUGUAGCUGGUCUGAGAGGACGACCAGCCACACUGGAACUGAGACACGGUCCAGACUCCUACGGGAGGCAGCAGUGGGGAAUUUUGGACAAUGGGCGCAAGCCUGAUCCAGCCAUUCCGCGUGCAGGAUGAAGGCCUUCGGGUUGUAAACUGCUUUGUACGGACGAAACGGUACUGCCUAAUACGGCGGGCUAAUGACGGUACCGUAAGAAUAAGCACCGGCUAACUACGUGCCAGCAGCCGCGGUAAGCUACG
rnacentral:rRNA from 1 species